rnacentral:rRNA from 1 species
ACGGAAGGCGCAGUGGGGAAUAUUGGGCAAUGGGGGAAACCCUGACCCAGCAACGCCGCGUGGAGGAAGAAGGUCUUCGGAUCGUAAACUCCUGUCCUCAAAGACGAGAAGAAGACGGUAUUUGAGGAGGAAGCCCCGGCUAACUACGUGCCAGCAGCCGCGGUAAUACGUAGGGGGCAAGCGUUGUCCGGAAUGAUUGGGCGUAAAGGGCGCGUAGGCGGCCUGUUAAGUCUGGAGUGAAAGUCCUGCUUUCAAGGUGGGAAUUGCUUUGGAUACUGACGGGCUUGAGUGCAGGAGAGGUUAGUGGAACUCCCAGUGUAGCGGUGAAAUGCGUAGAGAUUGGGAGGAACACCAGUGGCGAAGGCGACUAACUGGACUGUAACUGACGCUGAGGCGCGAAAGUGUGGGGAGCAAACAGGAUUAGAUACCCUGGUA